rnacentral:rRNA from 1 species
GAUGAACGCUGGCGGCGUGCCUAACACAUGCAAGUCGAGCGGACAGACGAGACUUCUUGCUGUCUCUGGCGUUGGCGGCGGGCGGGUGAGUAACGCGUCGGCAACCUACCUAUAAGACACGUCUAACAUCGGGAAACCAUACCUCAUACCUGAUGAUAUUGAGCUUCGGAGGACGUAGGAGCUAAAGACGGUUCUGGAGUCUAGUACGGAUUGACCCGCUGGGUAUUAGCUAGUUGGUGGGGUAACGGCUCACCAAGGCGACGGUACGUAGGCGACCUGAGAGGAGGAUCGGCCACACUGGAACUGAGACACGGACCAGACUCCUACGGGAGGCAGCAGUGGGGAAUCUUCGGCAAUGGACGAAAGUCUGACGCAGCCAUGCCGCGUGUGUGAAGAAGGUCUUCGGAUCGUAAAACUCUGUUGUAAGGGAAGAACGGCUGCGUGAGUAACUGAAGCUAGCUUGACGGUACCUGAACAGAAAGCCACGGCUAACUACGUG